rnacentral:rRNA from 1 species
UACGUAGGUGGCAAGCGUUGUCUGGAUUUAUUGGGUUUAAAGGGUGCGUAGGCGGUCUAUUAAGUCAGUGGUGAAAUAUCGCAGCUUAACUGUGAGGGUGCCAUUGAUACUGAUGGACUUGAGUGAAGUCGAAGUAGGCGGAAUUGACGGUGUAGCGGUGAAAUGCUUAGAUAUCGUCAAGAAUACUGAUAGUGAAGAUAGUUUAUUAGGUUUAUAUUGAUGCUGAGGUACGAAAGUGUGGGGAUCAAAC